GAUGAACGCUGGCGGCGUGCCUAAUACAUGCAAGUCGAGCGAACGGACGAGAAGCUUGCUUCUCUGAUGUUAGCGGCGGACGGGUGAGUAACACGUGGAUAACCUACCUAUAAGACUGGGAUAACUUCGGGAAACCGGAGCUAAUACCGGAGAAUAUUUUGAACCGCAUGGUUCAAAAGUGAAAGACGGUCUUGCUGUCACUUAUAGAUGGAUCCGCGCUGCAUUAGCUAGUUGGUAAGGUAACGGCUUACCAAGGCAACGAUGCAUAGCCGACCUGAGAGGGUGAUCGGCCACACUGGAACUGAGCCACGGUCCAGACUCCUACGGGAGGCAGCAGUAGGGAAUCUUCCGCAAUGGGCGAAAGCCUGACGGAGCAACGCCGCGUGAGUGAUGAAGGUCUUCGGAUCGUAAAACUCUGUUAUUAGGGAAGAACAUAUGUGUAAGUAACUGUGCACAUCUUGACGGUACCUAAUCAGAAAGCCACGGCUAACUACGUG
rnacentral:rRNA from 1 species